rnacentral:rRNA from 1 species
UGAACCAGCGGAAGGAUCAUUACCGAGUGAGGGCCCUCUGGGUCCAACCUCCCACCCGUGUCUAUCGUACCUUGUUGCUCCGGCGGGCCCGCCGUUUCGACGGCCGCCGGGGAGGCCUUGCGCCCCCGGGCCCGCGCCCGCCGAAGACCCCAACAUGAACGCUGUUCUGAAAGUAUGCACUCUGAGUUGAUUAUCGUAAUCAGUUAAAACUUUCAACAACGGAUCUCUAGGUUCCGGCAUUGAUGAAGAUCGCAGCGAAAUGCGAUAAGUAAUGUGAAUUGCAGAAUUCAGUGAAUCAUCGAGUCUUUGAACGCACACUGCGCCCCCUGGUAUUCCGGGGGGCAUGCCUGUCCGAGCGUCAUUGCUGCCCUCAAGCACGGCUUGUGUGUUGGGCCCCCGUCCCCCUCUCCCGGGGGACGGGCCCGAAAGGCAGCGGCGGCAUGCGUCCGGUCCUCGAGCGUAUGGGGCUUUGUCACCUGCUCUGUAGGCCCGGCCGGCGCCAGCCGACACCCAACUUUAUUUUUCUAAGGUUGACCUCGGAUCAGGUAGGGAUACCCGCUGAACUUAA